GGCGUGCUUAACACAUGCAAGUCGAACGGAAAGGCCCUGCUUUUGUGGGGUGCUCGAGUGGCGAACGGGUGAGUAACACGUGAGUAACCUGCCCUUGACUUUGGGAUAACUUCAGGAAACUGGGGCUAAUACCGGAUAGGAGCUCCUGCUGCAUGGUGGGGGUUGGAAAGUUUCGGCGGUUGGGGAUGGACUCGCGGCUUAUCAGCUUGUUGGUGGGGUAGUGGCUUACCAAGGCUUUGACGGGUAGCCGGCCUGAGAGGGUAACCGGCCACAUUGGGACUGAGAUACGGCCCAGACUCCUACGGGAGGCAGCAGUGGGGAAUAUUGCACAAUGGGCGGAAGCCUGAUGCAGCAACGCCGCGUGCGGGAUGACGGCCUUCGGGUUGUAAACCGCUUUCGCCUGUGACGAAGCGUGAGUGACGGUAAUGGGUAAAGAAGCACCGGCUAACUACGUGCCAGCAGCCGCGGUGAUACGUAGGGUGCGAGCGUUGUCCGGAUUUAUUGGGCGUAAAGGGCUCGUAGGUGGUUGAUCGCGUCGGAAGUGUAAUCUUGGGGCUUAACCCUGAGCGUGCUUUCGAUACGGGUUGACUUGAGGAAGGUAGGGGAGAAUGGAAUUCCUGGUGGAGCGGUGGAAUGCGCAGAUAUCAGGAGGAACACCAGUGGCGAAGGCGGUUCUCUGGGCCUUUCCUGACGCUGAGGAGCGAAAGCGUGGGGAGCGAACAGGCUUAGAUACCCUGGUAGUCCACGCUGUAAACGGUGGGUACUAGGUGUGGGGUCCAUUCCACGGGUUCCGUGCCGUAGCUAACGCUUUAAGUACCCCGCCUGGGGAGUACGGCCGCAAGGCUAAAACUCAAAGGAAUUGACGGGGCCCCGCACAAGCGGCGGAGCAUGCGGAUUAAUUCGAUGCAACGCGUAGAACCUUACCUGGGUUUGACAUGGAUCGGGAGUGCUCAGAGAUGGGUGUGCCUCUUUUGGGGUCGGUUCACAGGUGGUGCAUGGCUGUCGUCAGCUCGUGUCGUGAGAUGUUGGGUUAAGUCCCGCAACGAGCGCAACCCUUGUUCACUGUUGCCAGCACGUUAUGGUGGGGACUCAGUGGAGACCGCCGGGGUCAACUCGGAGGAAGGUGGGGAUGACGUCAAGUCAUCAUGCCCCUUAUGUCCAGGGCUUCACGCAUGCUACAAUGGCUGGUACAGAGAGUGGCGAGCCUGUGAGGGUGAGCGAAUCUCGGAAAGCCGGUCUCAGUUCGGAUUGGGGUCUGCAACUCGACCUCAUGAAGUCGGAGUCGCUAGUAAUCGCAGAUCAGCAACGCUGCGGUGAAUACGUUCCCGGGGCUUGUACACACCGCCCGUCAAGUCAUGAAAGUUGGUAACACCCGAAGCCGGUGGCCUAACCGUUGUGGGGGAGCCGUCGAAGGUGGGACUGGUGAUUAGG
rnacentral:rRNA from 1 species